GUGUGUAUAUUGUUUGUCUGUUGUGUGUAUAUUGCUUGUCUGUUGCUUGUGUAUUGUUGUUUAUUUCCUUCAUAAGCAAUAAACAAUUAAUAUACAUACAAUAAAUGUAAGAUAUACACGCAAUAGAGAAGCAAUAUAGACGCAACAGACAUGCAAUAUAGAC
rnacentral:miRNA from 1 species